UUGGCCAUGUUGUUGUUACUGAAAAAAGUAAAAGUGCAAAAACAUUUCUUUAGGGUUAGGCAUUGUUUUGGCCUGGGUUAAGGUAAGGGUUAGAGUAAGGGUUAGGGGUUAGAUAUGAAUGGGAGUCAAUGGUAUGUCCCCACAAUGAUACAAAAACACAGUGUGUGUGUGUCUGUGUGUGUGUGUGUGUGUGUGUGUGUGUGUGUGUGUGUGUGUCCGUGCGACCUGGCAGUCCCAGGCCUAUAAAAAGCACAGUGGUCUCUUGCCGUCACAUCGACACCACUCUGGACCGGGGCGAGUGACUUUCUCACAGACUGCUCCGCUGGCUUCCUGUGUAUUAUGGCAAGAUCUUAUCUACAGCUGCAGAAGACAUGCUCCCGUCAGAAGUAUACCUUUAGGCCGUUGCCUUUGAUGACCUGAUCCAAGCAAUAGUCAAUGAUGUGAAGACAUCAAGAAGAAGACAAGAAGACAUCCCUGAUACCGUUACCCAUCAGGAGUCUGGUGGUUAUACAGACUAAAGUGUUCAAGACGGUGGUUGUCAAUGGUUGUCGAUUGUAUUUGGUGAUGGAACCAAUAUCUGAUAUGUCUAUGUGACUUUAUUGUAAUAAAGACCAAACAAUCUGU